ACUGCUCAGUAACACGUGGCUAACCUGCCCUUGGGACGGAAACAUCCCCGGGAAACUGGGGCUAAUUUCCGAUAGGUGAAGACUCCUGGAAUGGAUUUUCGCCGAAAAGGCGCUUAGGGCAUGCUUCUAGGUGUUGCCCAAGGAUGGGGCCGCGGCCGAUCAGGUUGUUGGUGAGGUAAUGGCUCACCAAGCCUUUAACCGGUACGGGCCGUGGGAGCGGUAGCCCGGAGAUGGGCACUGAGACAAGGGCCCAGGCCCUACGGGGCGCAGCAGUCGCGAAAACUUCGCAAUAAGCGAAAGCUUGACGGGGCCAUCCCGAGUGCCAUCUGCUGAGGAUGGCUUUUACCCAGUAUAGAUAGCUGGGGGAAUAAGGAGAGGGCAAGUCUGGUGUCAGCCGCCGCGGUAAUACCAGCUCUCCGAGUUGUAGGGAUGUUUAUUGGGCCUAAAGCAUCCGUAGCCGGCUGGACAAGUCCUCUGUUAAAUCCACCGAAUUAAUCGUUGGAUUGCGGGGGAUACUGCUUGGCUAGGGGAUGAGAGAGGCAGACGGUAUUUCCGGGGUAGGGGUGAAAUCCUAUAAUCCCGGGAGGACCACCAGUGGCGAAGGCUGUCUGCUAGAACGCGCCCGACGGUGAGGGAUGAAAGCUGGGGGAGCGAACCGGAUUAGAUACCCGGGUAGUCCCAGCUGUAAACGAUGCAGGCUAGGUGUUUGGACGGCCACGUGCCGUUCUAGUGCCGCAGGGAAGCUGUUAAGCCUGCCGCCUGGGGAGUACGAUCGCAAGAUUGAAACUUAAAGGAAUUGGCGGGGGAGCAC
rnacentral:rRNA from 1 species